rnacentral:rRNA from 1 species
AGCGAACGCUGGCGGCGUACUUAGCACAUGCAAGUCGAACGGGGAUCGUCGGGUUAGCAAUAAUUCGGCGGUCCUAGUGGCGUACGGGUGAGUAACACGUGGGCAACUUGCCCUUGAGACCGGGAUACCCUCUCGAAAGGGAGGCUAAUACUGGAUACGUUCUUCGGAUCGCAAGAUCUGGAGAGGAAAGGUGGCGCAAGCUACCGCUCUUGGAGAGGCUCGCGGCCUAUCAGCUAGUUGGUGAGGUAAUGGCUCACCAAGGCUAUGACGGGUAGCUGGUCUGAGAGGACGACCAGCCACACGGGAACUGAGACACGGUCCCGACUCCUACGGGAGGCAGCAGUGGGAAUUUUCCGCAAUGGGCGAAAGCCUGACGGAGUGACGCCGC